CCAAAUACUCCCACCUCCAGAAUCAACCUUGCACCCUGUCUUCAUUAACCAUAAAAUGAUCCGAUGUAACACCACCCUAAAGCCACCAUCCCUCCGUCGUCCACCGCCGGCCGGAAAUCGUCGCUGCCGGUGGCGAUGCUCCAAUCAACCCCAGAUUUACACCCUAGAAUACCCUUCUCCUCUUUCCAAUGCCCCAAGUCCCAGCCCUCGAAUCAUAGCCCUCUUCUCGAAUCUUCGAUCAAAAGGGUGGUUGUUCCGCCGUCCACGGAGGCGCCAGCUCCGAUGGCCAUCAAAAAUACACCAUGGCUUCCUCUCCCCUCCCCCUUUCCAAAUGCAAACUCCUUUUCCUUCAAAUCCCAACCAAGAGAAUUCAAAUAUCAAAUCAAAGACCUCGACUAAAAACCUAACCCUUCCAAAUCCAACCAAAUUCACACCUGUACUGUCCUCACCCUCCUCUUCCUAAACCCCUAAUCAGUAUCCCUCGAAUGUCAAUGGAUCUCCCCAAAUUUCAAAUCGAAGGUUGGUCGGAAAAACUAUAUCCUUAAGGGUUCAUGGGUCUUGGAUUAGGACUGUCUUUAAUCUGGUGUUUUCUCAGGAAAACACACAAUUAAGGAAAGUUGUAGUCCGUUUAGUUCCAAAUUCAGAUUGCAUGAUGUCAUUAAGCUAAGUCUCCUUAUUUUCAAUUUCUUGUUUCUUCGUGUUGCUGCUGGAAUUUUUUUUUUUUGUGUGAGUUUGUUCUUGCAUGUGUUGUUAGCGAUCUUAGUUUAAUUAAGGACAUUUGUAGUCCGUUUAGUUCCAAAUUCAGAUUGCAUGUUGUCAUUAAGCUAAGUAUCCUUAAUUUCAAUUUCUUGUUCCUUCGUCUUACUGCUGUUUUUUUUUGUGUGUGUGUGGGUUUGUUCUUGCAUGUGUUAUUAGAAAUCUUAGUUACCCUUUGUUAGCUUUCAUUUAGAAUUUUGGGGUAGUUUUUCAUGUUCAUCUGUUUAAUUUCAAUUCUAAAUCAUUACUGAUUAUCUGCUCGCUUCACUUUUAGUAACUAGACUUCUAAAUUUUGAGUUAUGAUUAAUCAAGCUUGAUUGUUGUUUUCCUGUGUUAUUCUGUGUUGAUUCAUGAGCAGUAUGUUUGAGUGAUUAUAAUUGAAUGGUUGAGGGUUAAUUUAGGUUAUUAGGAUAUUACUGUUUCUAAAUGGCAUGUCAUUUUGUUGAAAAUUGUUUCAAUUGAUUGUUUACUGUUUUAAUGAUACACUUGACCUUAUAACUCUUAUUAAUUAGAUUUAAAUCAGGUUUAACACAGGUUAUAGAGUUUUGAUUAAAUUUCAGGAUUGGCUGGAUAUAGUUGAGUGUUUAGUUACCUAUAGUCACUUCUAACUAGGGUAAAAAGGGUUUGGGGUUUAGUUUACUGCUUAUUCUCAGUAAAUUCAGAUUCAAUGAAGGGUAGUUUAGGCAUUUGAGGGCUAGGGAAUCUUUUAUAACAAGUUAAGAAGCUUCUAUACUUCUAACUAGGGUAAAAAGGUGUUUGGGCUUAGUUUUCUGUUUAUUCUUAGUAAAUUCAGAUUGAGUGAAGGAUUUGAGGGCUAGGGAAUCUUUUAUAACAAGUUAAGAAGCUUCUAGUGAGGGUCUCUAGUGAAAUUUCAGUCGGUUAAGUGGUAAAACUUGGUAAAGAAGUCAGAAGUCUUAGGUGAUCUAAGCUAAAAGCAAAAAAUAAAAGAGGGACUGAUUGGUUAAACUGGAAAAUUGAAAGGACAAACGGUAAAACAAAAGUUGAAACUUUGUCCUAGUUUGCUUGCCUAUAAAGGCAUAGGUAUCUUGACUUAAAAGGCACGGAAAAAUCCUCUAAAAACAUCUUUCUGAAAUUGAUCCUAAGUACAGGAGCCAAAAAAUACAAAAUAGAAGAUCUAAUUUUGGGAAAACUUCUGGAAAUAUUGAAAACAAAAUAUAUAGGCAGAAAAUAUUGUUUCAGUUCCAGAUUUUCAAAAGUGCAAGAAUAAUUUGAGUAAGAGUGGUUCGAAUCUAUUUUACAAGUUGUGUGUACCCUGGUCUAUUUGAUAAAUUCUCCUGUUCGAUUCUAGGUUUCGAGCUUGUUUUACUGGUGCAUCUGCUGGUGGAUUUGUUGUUGUUAUUGUCUCUUGUUUAUUCACUCGUAGGUGUUUCAUCUUUGCCUUAAUUCAGGUACACAUACUAAGACUGCAUUGAUGUAGCUUUGAACUGGAAAAGGAAUAAAGCACAAUUACCAGUUGGUUGAUGUAUGCUCAUUUGGAUGGUUGUGUGACUAUAGUUUGAUAGAUGCUACUGAUAUUUGUUUGUUUAGUAUAGUUAAUUUUGUUUUUGAUCUGUAUUCAUUUGAAUUGGACUGUAUGGACGUUUAUCUUCAGAUUCAUAUGAACACUGUGAUUAGGAUGCUAGCUCUAGGUAAUUUCAAUUUAAGUUGUAAAAAUAAGUUGUGG
rnacentral:lncRNA from 1 species